GCCAGAACCAGAUAAUGAAGUUUCAAAACAAGCCCAUGGUCUUGUUGUCACAGAUUUCUUUGUGUUUGGUUGUUUUCUCUCUCUCUUUCUCUUUCUCUUUCACUAACGUUGUCGCACUGUUGGCCAGUUCUCUAUUGUGCAAAUUCACUAACGUUGUCGCACUGUUGGCCAGUUCUCUAUUGUGCAAAUUCACGCUGUCUCUGGUAGGUCCACUCGGAACGAGCUAGCAAAUCCUUUUGUGGGCUGCAAGGCAAGAGAAAACACACUUGUUAGACAAAUGGUGUAUAUCCCUUUUCUCUUACUCUUUUAUUCUGCACAUUUUCAAAUAAUCAUCAUGGCCAUUAGCACCAAGGUUAUGUCCCAAAUGGCAACCUAUACCCUAAGGAGUGCACAACUUUUGACCAGGGCCUUAUGUGGCCACUAUAGGUACUAGGGUGCCAUUUGGGAUGCACUCCUGGUUUUUUAACUGUCCUUAUAUGGUCUGUCCAGAAAAACCUCCUUUCCCUAAUUAUAAACUACAACCAGACUAUAAUAACUGGUUAUAAACUACAACCAGACUAUAAUANNNNNNNNNNUGUUUCCCUUAUGAAGGUAUUCACAACACCAUAUAGAGGAUCUGUUUCCCUUAUGAAGGUGUUCAUAACACCAUAUAGAGGAUAUGUUUCCCUUAUGAAGGUAUUCACAACACCGUAUAGAAGCAAAGCGUCAGUGUGAGGAAGACAGUUUCAUAACGCCGUAUAGAAGCAAAGCGUCAGUGUUAGGAAGACAGUUUCAUAACGCCUUACGACUGCAUCCAAAAGGAUCUAGUAAUAUCGUUAUAAUGCAUUAUAACUAUUCAGAAGUCGAGCGUCGCCAAAAAUGAGGAUAUGAAAACCGUCAGCCUUAACCUUGGUUGGAGUGAAGGGGCCGGAGUCUUUGCAUAGUGAAGCCACGCCCUCAAUGUUUAAUGAAUACAAGUUCUUGUUUUUAGCACUUGGUAUCAGUUGGUAUUGACAGUACUGCAUGGUGGAUAAGAAACUAACCAAUGGUUACACAGUUUCAGAAAAGUAUAUCUUAUAUAUAGACAUGUAUAUAUAUGUAUAUAUAUAGAGAGAGAGAGAUGUAUAUUCAUUUAUAGGCUAAGCUUUAAAAUAGCACAGGAAACACUUUGCACACAUGAUAUAAACCACAACAUUUCUCUGGUUUGUGAAGUUCCUCUCAGACCAAUGUUAUGGAGGCAGGUCGCCCAAAGAAGCAGGAACUCAACUAGCCGUGUUGUAGGCCGUCUGUGUUGUCGUUGUUCUUUACUAUAAAGUCAGAAUACUGGAGAUUCAGAACACUUGGACCGCACAGAGAAAACAACAGGAAAAAAAACAGAGAAGUUAUAAAAACAGUCAAGUAGAGAUGUUGAUUUUGUAUAAUAGUUCGCAUCAUUUCUGGGGUUUUCUCUCUCUCUCUCUCUCUCUCUCUCUCUCUCUCUCUCUCUCUCUCUCUCUCUGUGUCUGUCUCUCUCACUCUCUCACACUCCAUCUCUAUCCCUCCAUUUCCCUCUCCCCCUCUCAUCAUUCAUUCCUGUACAGUUGGUGUAGUGGUGACAGUAGAAACAGCUAAAGGGCUCAUAGUGAUGGUUGGUUGAAGUUUGUACAGAAACAUUACUUUUUUGUGUAAACAGGC
rnacentral:lncRNA from 13 species